rnacentral:rRNA from 1 species
ACGAACGCUGGCGGCGUGCUUAACACAUGCAAGUCGAACGGAAAGGCCUGCUUUCCCUUGUGGAUUGCGGGUACUCGAGUGGCGAACGGGUGAGUAACACGUGAGUGAUCUGCCCCCAACUUGGGUAUAAGCCUGGGAAACUGGGUCUAAUUCCCGAUAGGACUGCAGGGUGGUGCCUGUGGUGGAAAACGAUUUUCUAGUGGUUGGGGAUGAGCUCGCGGCCUAUCAGCUUGUUGGUGGGGUAAUGGCCUACCAAGGCGGCGACGGGUAGCCGGCCUGAGAGGGUGGACGGCCACAUUGGGACUGAGAUACGGCCCAGACUCUUACGGGAGGCAGCAGUGGGGAAUAUUGCACAAUGGGCGGAAGCCUGAUGCAGCGACGCCGCGUGGGGGAUGACGGCCUUCGGGUUGUAAACUCCUUUCGACCGCGAGGAAGCCACCUGGUUGGAAGGGUGGUGACGGUAGUGGUAGAAGAAGCACCGGCUAACUACGUG